AAAACAGGAAAACAAUUAGUAUAAUGAAGUAUGAUACAAUGACAAUUGUGCCUUCUUUCUUAAUCGUUUUAAUAUUAUUCCAACUAGAAAAGUCUUAAAGAAGAGGAAGGAAGGAAAGAAAAAACAUUUUUUGAGAAUCUAAAAAGUUAAAAAAAAAAAUCAAACCAGACAGAAUAUUUUCUUUACCUCCAAGUGUGAUUUGACUCUAAAAAGCAAUUGUAAAAAAGACUGCAAUCUUCUACGCUGAGUCAAGUAGUCAGGUUAUUAAUCCAGAGAAGUGUCCGUAAUGUGAGCCUUCAGCACAUACUGGCAAGGAAUGGGAGAGGACUGGAAAAAGCAGCUGACACUGAGAGUGAACUUUCAUCCCUAUUGUUGAAGAGUAAAAUACCAAUCUUCUCGAUGCGACCUAGAGGGAUCAGCCCCUGCAGGAACAUCCCUGACUAAACCAUCUCAGCCAAGCAUCUAUCUAACCUGCUCUUGAAAAUUUCCAGGAAUGGAUAUUUCAGAGUUUCUCUAGAUUGGAAGAGAAAAACAAGCUUUCUUGAUUUUUUUCAACUUCCAAUUGAUUUCUCAGCUUUGAAUGAACCAGUCAAAUGAAGAAAAUAUUUUUGUGAACCUGCAGAAGAGACUAUUGAUGGUAAAAGCUUGUUUAGCACUUCAACAAGCUUGAGUUCCAGGCAGACUGGAGGUGGUACGUGAGCCCGAGAAGAUGGUAUAAGUAGACUCGGACAGCAGUUCUCAACCUUUUGCACCUUAUGUCCCACCUACAUAAGGUCAAAAAAUCCUGGUUCCACCAGUCAAUAAGCAGGAGUGGGGGGUCUCCCAAAGGUCAGUCAAAAAGCAGGGGGAGGGGACAGAAGUUCCUCAGCAACUAAUCGAAGAAGUCCUGCUGUGGCACUUCCAGUUUUGCUGCCACGACCCGUGAGUCCCACCUUGAGGACCUUUGCGCCCCACCAGUGGGACACAUCCCACCAAUUGAAAAACCCUGGACUAGGAAGCAACGGAGCUACUUAGGAAACAUGUUCACCUGAAGCACAAAAUGGAGAACAACUGCAAAUCCCUCCAUUUCACAGCAAACAGCCAUGAAUCUACUCAGGGUUUAGGAUCACAUAUAACUGGCCUUGCCAUUCCUCUGUCCAGUGCUACCUCCUGUUAUCUGAACCUCUUUCUCACUGCUGGAGCUAUGAGAUGAUCCAGACUUUCUGUACAGACUCAGCAGAAGGAGAGGGAUGGCAUUGGGGCUUUAUCAUAAAAUAAAGUCCACUGAUGAUGGAGACUGCCUUUCCACUACAGCUGAAGUUUUUCUUCCUGGUACCAAAUCUAGCCUGUAAUGCUACAUAUACUCCAGUCCCUGAUAUCACAAGGUGCUGUUUGAGGAUGCAAUCUCACAACUGUCCAUAGAAAGGCAGAAAUGGUACAGGGUGUUCUACUCCUGUCUCCCUCAAAUCAGUAUCUACUGUUGUAUCAAAAUAUAUGUGCAAUUCAUUGCCAUGUUUUGGAGGGAAAAGGAAGGAAACACUCAGUCUAAUAGGGCCCCUUGACUCUGUGAUUGUUGGCUCCCACUCCAUAAGCUGACAGGAUAGACAUUGUGUAUUGUUUUAGCAAGCUCCUAAAGAGGACACUCCCCUGAGUGACAGCCGGCAAGACACCUGCUAGAGGUAGCAGAGGUAGUAAAAAUGCCCACUAACUCCUCUGAUGUGAUGCUAUUAUUGCUAUAUAUGGUAGUUACAUUAACCUGAUUUUGCUGCCCCAGACCUGGGUAGGGUGAUGGCUCAGAGCACUGCACAAAGCUCACUGCAGUUUUGUCUGAAGGGAAAGUUGUCUCCUAUUAUAAUGGACGACACUGAGAUGGCAAAGCCCAAAGGAGACACUUCAGUUGAAAUAAAGCUUUACUCACAAGAGUUGUUGUAGUGGGAAUUUUCCUUAGCAAUUUUUGGUAACCAGCUCAUAGCCCUUAUAUGUUGAAUUUUUGCUGCAUGUUAAAGAUAUAUUUAACAAGAAAGUGUAUGUGGGCUCAGUAUGCACCUCUGAAAGAGCAAGGAGGUAAUAUUUUAGGCAAGCAAUAACAUACAAGUUCACUUUCCUUUAACUGAAUGCAGAUACUUUGCUGAGUUGAUAUUAUAAAUAAAAACAUUUAAGAAAGUUUUCACUUGAGAAUAUUGCUCCAGGAUCUAAAAAGCAUCCUUCAGUUCUUCCAUGGCAAAACUUAGAUGCUUUACAGAAGUGAUUCUCAAUCCUUUUGCAUGGGUGACCUCAUUCCUGGGCCAAGCCUGAUGACUACGAAUGCAUAUGGAACUCAUGACACCACUCAAGUGCUGCAACCUCACUGGGACUCAUGCACCUAGUUUGAGAAUCAGUGUUGUACAGCAAGAGACAGCCAAUGAUAUCUCAUGGAAAAAUGGACAGUUGGAAAUAUGGUGUCACUCCUAUUUUAGU